UCCCUAUGGGGUCUCUGUCUCCCUAUGGGGUCCCUAUGGGGUCUCUAUGUGUCCCUAUGGGGUCGCUAUGGGUCGCUAUAGGGCCGUGCUGUGCCCCACAGCCAUGGGGGAGCCUUAUGGGUCCCUAUGGGGUCUCUGUGUGUCCCUGUGGGGUCUCUAUGUGUCCCUGUGUGUCCCUAUGGGGUCUCUAUGGGUGUCUAUGGGUCUCUGUCUCCCUAUGGGAUCCCUAUGGGGUCCCUAUGUGUCCCUAUGGGGUCGCUAUGGGUCGCUAUAGGGCCGUGCUGUGCCCCACAGCCAUGGGGGAGCCUUAUGGGUCCCUAUGGGGUCUCUAUGGGUCUCUAUGGGGUCUCUAUGGGUCCCUAUGGGGUCCCUAUGUGUCCCUAUGGGGUCGCUAUGGGGUCGCUAUAGGGCCGUGUUGUGCCCCACAGCCA
ensembl:lncRNA